rnacentral:rRNA from 1 species
UACGAAGGGAGCUAGCGUUGUUCGGAAUCACUGGGCGUAAAGCGCACGUAGGCGGACUGUUAAGUCGGGGGUGAAAUCCUGGGGCUCAACCUCAGAAUUGCCUCCGAUACUGGCAGUCUCGAGUGCGGGAGAGGUGAGUGGAAUUCCCAGUGUAGAGGUGAAAUUCGUAGAUAUUGGGAAGAACGCCAGUGGCGAAGGCGGCUCACUGGCCCGUAACUGACGCUGAGGUGCGAAAGCGUGGGGAGCAAACAGG